rnacentral:rRNA from 1 species
UGUUCCAGUUGUCACGCCAGUGGCAAUGGCUGGGUAGCCGCGUUCGGAAAGGAUAAACGCUGAAUGCAUAUAAGCGUGAAGCCUUCCCCGAGAAUAGAUAUCCCUGAAGACGCCUUGGAGACUACAAGGUUGAUAGGCAGCAAAUGUAAGAGCCGUAAGGCUUUCAGUUUAGCUGUACUAAUCCGUCGUCAGGCUUGACCAU